rnacentral:rRNA from 1 species
GUGAGGAAUAUUGGACAAUGGGCGCAAGCCUGAUCCGGCCAUGCCGCGUGCAGGAAGACGCAUCUAUGGUGUGUAAACUGCUUUUGUACGGGAAGAAACACUCCCUCGUGAGGGAGCUUGACGGUACCGUAAGAAUAAGGAUCGGCUAACUCCGUGCCAGCAGCCGCGGUAAUACGGAGGAUCCAAGCGUUAUCCGGAAUCAUUGGGUUUAAAGGGUCCGUAGGCGGUUUAAUAAGUCAGUGGUGAAAGCCCAUCGCUCAACGAUGGAACGGCCAUUGAUACUGUUAGACUUGAAUUACAAGGAAGUAACUAGAAUAUGUAGUGUAGCGGUGAAAUGCUUAGAUAUUACAUGGAAUACCAAUUGCGAAGGCAGGUUACUACUUGUGGAUUGACGCUGAUGGACGAAAGCGUGGGGAGCGAACAGGAUUAGAAACCCCGGUAGUCC